GGCCGCCUGGCGAAAUGGCAUCGCGUCUGACUACGAUUCAUUUGGUUAUCAGGGAUUGCAGGUUCGACCCCUGCGGUGGUCA